AAAGAAUGGGUAUAGCACAGGUAGCAGCAGUGCAAGCUUCUCCACAGUGUUCCACCACUGAGCCAAAACACUGUUCUGGAGAGACCCUCUCUAAA
rnacentral:sRNA from 1 species